rnacentral:rRNA from 1 species
ACGGGAGGCAGCAGUGAGGAAUAUUGGUCAAUGGGCGGAAGCCUGAACCAGCCAAGUCGCGUGAAGGAUGAAGGUAUUAUGUAUUGUAAACUUCUUUAGCUGUGGAGCAAUAAUCUCCAUGUAUGGAGAGAUGAGAGUACACAGAGAAUAAGGAUCGGCUAACUCCGUGCCAGCAGCCGCGGUAAUACGGAGGAUCCGAGCGUUAUCCGGAUUUAUUGGGUUUAAAGGGUGCGCAGGCGGCUUUCUAAGUCAGUGGUCAAAUCGUGGUGCUCAACGCCAUCCCGCCAUUGAUACUGGAGAGCUUGAUUGCGGUCGAGGUUUGCGGAAUUCGUCGUGUAGCGGUGAAAUGCAUAGAUAUGACGAAGAACACCGAUUGCGUAGGCAGCUUACCAGACCGUAAAUGACGCUCAUGCACGAAAGUGCGGGGAUCGAACAGGAUUAGAUACCCUGGUA